UCGCAGCAUCUGGCAGCAUAACAGCACUUAAUAUCCCUCUUGGGUUUCUUUAGAACGAGAUGCAGUUAAUAAGGAGGAGUGUUAUCGCAUCUCACCAACAACGCAGGGAAGAUGCAAGAAUCUUUUCCAGGCUCCAGAGGGAGUCCUUUGCCAUCCGACUUAAAAUACUCAUGAUAUGAAGGACCAAACCAGAAGUGCUGUAUCACCGGGUUGACCAAAACCAAAAAAGGGACACUUUAUUUAAAAGUUUAAAAGUUUACUAUAUUUAAAAGUGGUUAAUCUAUAUACGAAAUACAUUAAUACAUUGUUGUUAUACAAAUGUUCAUUAUGUAAAGAGAAUGUAUAAGGAGGAGGAUAGUAACUAACCUUUGGUGUAAGCCAUAAUUCAUAAAUCAUAAGUAUUGAAGUCAUAAGAAAUGAAAGAAAAAAA